CUUGAAGUCCAUGAACAGACCCCAAUUACUUUCCCUUAAUUCUGAGGAAGGAAGAUUGCUACUGUGACUCUUCAGUCCCAAGCCUUGAUCAAAACAGUAGGGCCUGUCAACUUGCUGCAUUAAGUGUUGUUUUGGGGGGCCACAGAUAUGGCAAAAAGUGGUAGAGACUAAUUUAUCUCUUGUACAGUGACAGUUUGCCUCACAGCUUCAAAGCAGCAAUUGGAAAUUGGAAGAAACCCAAGACAAGCUUAGUCAAAGAUGACAGAAAUCUCUUAAAGGCAAGAGGAACAAAGGUCUCUCCCAGAUGCAGCAAUGGAAGUUUAAUGUCUCCAUGACACUUAGAGUAGGAGGAAGAGCUAUAUGAGAAUUAAAACUAAAACGUUUGAAAAGCAUCAACAGUAUGUAAUUGUGGAUUUUGUUGCUGUGUACCUUUCUGGAGUGUCAGCUGAAUCUGCCCAGGCUCUAGCUUUGUAGAAGAAUAAAAAAUAAAAAUAAAAAAUGAAGCAGGUUGUUACCUUCAGAUGAAAUGUGGGCUUCAGUGAGAUAAUGAUCUGAACUGCUGGGUGUCAGCCAGCAAUGCUGUUGCUGUGCUCUGUAUUAACACUUCAGUAGAAGUCAUUCCAGUUACCUGCUGUUUAUUGGUGCUGUCAAGGCCUCAAGACCGACCACUUGAGCACUGGAUGUUUUACAGGAAUUUGGAUGGUUUCAACACACUUGUUUUACAGUAGAACAAACCCGAAUCUGUUAUACAGUUUUACAAAACAGAACUGCAUUGAAAUAUUCACUAGAGGAGCUUGUAUGAUGGUUGUGUGACCUGAGAGCUUUUGACUUUGGAAACCUCUGACAGAAAACUUGCUGAAAUAGGCUUCUUCAUGAAAUGCUUGGAUGUGAGAUGCUGUCCAGAAUAAAUGGCACUUUGUCACCAAAAUAAAGAGCACACAUUGAGAGACAGACAUUUGUUUAUGUGAAUGAAGUACAGUGAUUGAGUAGUAAGGAAAUCUGACACGGUGAGUCAAAUUUAACCAAAAAUAUUGAGUUAAGUUUAGACAGUGCAGAGCAAUUGGAGGCUGCAGUUAGCUUGGCUUCUUGCUGAAAUACUUCAGCCCAUAUGAAUGCUACGGUCAGCUUUGACAUCUUGACCUACCACUGUUUUGCAAUCCGUGGGAAGAUGCAAGUUUUGUUAAAGGACUGUUUCUGGGAGUCUUGUGGUCUAGCCUACACCAGGCGAUCUUCUGGCAUCCUUGUGUUGUGCCCUAACUUCUAGCAGUAGAGUCACUCUUCCAAGAGUGAGUGAGAAUGCACUUACGUUCACUUUCUCUUCUUCCCUCAUUCUCUCACUCAUUCCCUCCAACAACUUUAUCUGCAUUGCAAUAUGAAAAUAAUCAGAGUUUCUGAUUCUUUCCAAAUAAAAAAGAAAAAAGAUAUAGCUGGACUUUAAAUCUGCCUAGUCUUGAUUUAGAUUUGGACUAUGUGCUUGAGGAGUGGAGAAUGAGAUUUUUCAAGCACAGAAUUGUCAAUGUGAAUCUAGUAUUGGGGUAAGAGGGAGGAAACAUUUUAAUAGAAUUUUUGAAUCCUCUCUCCAGCAAAGAAGUACAUGGUCCCUGUCUUCUUAAUAGUUUUCCCAGUUUAACAAAGAAGAUAAAUCUUAGCACUCUGGUAUUUCUAACUCUUUAAAAAACAAACAAAUUUUUAUCUAUGGGUUUUUCCCUUCACACGUUCCCUCAGAUCUGUGAAGAUGCUUUGCAUCUUUGAAAAUAUAUUAGAGCUUUGCCAGUAAUGCAGACAGAAAAUGAGUCAUGAAGGCUAUUUCACUGUUUGCCUGCUGUUAACACCCUUGUGUCCAGCCAGACUUAGGAUUUCAAUCAUCUUUGUUUACAACAUAUCAGUUGCUUAAAACAGCCCUCAAAGCUCUCACCUUCUUCCCUCUUCAUUCUCAGUGACCUCAGCUCAUUUGCCUCAGUACAACGAAGUGAAGUUCACUUGCACUUGAACCUCUGGUAUGGAAACCAGGGCAGUGGGUUGGAUUCUGGGCAAACUUCUCCACAAAGAGUGGGAAUGGGGUGUGCUGCCUUCCAUAUGGAAAAUCUGUCUGCUGGGUGAUAGCUGGAGAGUAACUGUAUGUCUGCAUUGACUUUCCCUUUUCCUGUGAAAUAAGCAUAACCACAUUCCCUGAUUAGGAUACUUAUUUGUUCACAGUCUUCUUAAGGUGCAUCAUCAUCCUUGGCUAGGAGUAGGGCUGAGCGUAAAAAAAAUAACUUGUAAAUGGAGAAAGGCAGAGUAGCUAUUUUCUGUAGUUUUGUUAUACAGCUAUGGUAACAACUGGUUCUGACGGGGGAAAAAAAAAGCUUGUGUAAAUAGAAAGGAAGAAGAGUGCUUUACUCAUAACCUCAAAAAAUAAAAAUUUCUUCAGUGCAGAACUGUCAACAUGCAGUACUAUAUUUUUAUUUCUUUUUAACCUUGAAACACUCUAGUUCCUUAUGCUGUUGGAUUUUUGUGCUCUGAGAUACCUGAAGUAAUUUCUUGCUAUGCAUGGAGAAUAUGAUUAAAUAACAUAGAUUUAAGUUCCAAAAAAGGUUUCACAUGCUCAAUGAUGGCAAAAAGCCAGUCUGAAUGUAUGCUGUUUUUAUUACAAUCUAAUGCAUUGUCAAAUGAAAUUCUGCUACCAUUUGUGACAAUUUUUUGUCUGCCCAAUUAAAAUAAUUCAAUAUAACAAAUUGAGGUUAUA